AACGAACGCUGGCGGCGUGCUUAACACAUGCAAGUCGAUCGGUAACAGGUGUAGCAAUACAUGCUGACGAGAGGCGGACGGGUGAGGAACGCUUGGGAAUCUGCCUAUCAGCGGGGGACAACCCGGGGAAACCCGGGCUAAUACCGCAUACGCUCUACGGAGGAAAGCCGGGGACCGCAAGGCCUGGCACCGAUAGAUGAGCCCAAGUCGGAUUAGCUAGUUGGCGGGGUAACGGCCCACCAAGGCGACGAUCCGUAGCUGGUCUGAGAGGACGAUCAGCCACACCGGAACUGAGACACGGUCCGGACUCCUACGGGAGGCAGCAGUGGGGAAUAUUGGACAAUGGGGGAAACCCUGAUCCAGCGACGCCGCGUGGGUGAAGAAGGCCUGCGGGUUGUAAAGCCCUUUCGGUAGGGACGAAAGCUCUUGCUCUAACAAAGCAGGAGGUUGACUUAACCUACAUAAGAAGCACCGGCUAACUCUGUGCCAGCCGCCGCGGUAAAAC
rnacentral:rRNA from 1 species